ACACCCGUUCCCAUGCCGAACACGAUGGUUAAGCUUCUAAGCGCCGAUGGUACUGCAAGGGCGACCUUGUGGGAGAGUAGGACGUUGCCAGGU
rnacentral:rRNA from 1 species